CAAUUACUCCCUCCGUUCGGAAUUAUUUGUCGCAGAAAUGGAUAUAUCUAGAUGUAUUUUAGUUCUAGAUACAUCCAUAUCUAAGACAAGUAAUUCCGAACGAAGGGAGUAUCAC
rfam:Triticum aestivum genome assembly, contig: Triticum_aestivum_CS42_TGACv1_scaffold_556339_7AL